GAUAUUUGAUCUAUAGCAUUGUGGAUGUGUGUAGAAUAACUUAUCUAGAAAAUUAAAGUAAAGUUCAUAUCACAAUUUAUCCACGAAGGUCGUAUUGCAUCAAGAAUCGCGCAUUCAAACAGUUAACAACAAUACAAACAAGUCAGUUCACCAUACUUGCUUCGACCUAUCAAACCCUGCAACUCUUGAUACGAACUUCGCGUCUUUAGCUCCCCACUCCCAUGUUCAUUCUCUGACUCGCAACCCCUUAAUCCCUUGACAUCUUCCACUCAUCAAAACCCAAUUUCGAAACCCUAAAAUCCAAAAAGUGUUUUCUCCACAACCUUUUUCCCCCAAAUUCCCAUUCCCGUGCCGGAGCUCUCCCUUCGCCCCUUACCCUAGGGUUUUCGAGUUUUUCUUUUUUUUUUUGAAGGAGAGAAGAAAAAAAUAUGAAAAGAAAAGAGGAAGGUGUGUUCUCGAAGUUGAUGGAGAAAAUGUGUUUUCUCGUUCUUUCUCGCCGCUCCUUUGGCCCAAAAACAAUUUCCAGAAAAAAAAAAG
rnacentral:lncRNA from 1 species